rnacentral:rRNA from 1 species
AUUGAACGUUGGCGGCAGGCCUAACACAUGCAAGUCGAACGAGUGGCGGACGGGUGAGUAAUGUCUGGGAAACUGCCUGAUGGAGGGGGCUAACUACUGGAAACGGUAGCUAAUACCGCAUACUAUCAGAUGUGCCCAGAUGGGAUUAGCUAGUUGGUGGGGUAAAGGCACGACAAGGAGACGAUCCCUAGCUGGUCUGCGAGGAUGACCAGCCACACUGGAACUGAGACACGGUCCAGACUCCUACGGGUGGUAGCAGUGGGGAAUAGUGCACAAUGGGCGCAAGCCUGAUGCAGCCAUGCCGCGUGUAUGAAGAAGGCCUUCGGGUUGUAAAGUACUUUCAGCGGGGAGGCGUUGGCCGCAGAGGAAGCUCCUGCUAACUCCGUGCCAGCAGCCGCGGUAAUAC